rnacentral:rRNA from 1 species
UACGUAGGGGGCUAGCGUUGUCCGGAUUUAUUGGGCGUAAAGAGCGUGUAGGCGGCCAGGUAGGUCUGCUGUGAAAACUCGAGGCUCAACCUCGAGACGUCGGCGGAAACCAUCUGGCUAGAGUCCGGAAGAGGAGAGUGGAAUUCCUGGUGUAGCGGUGAAAUGCGCAGAUAUCAGGAGGAACACCGUUGGCGAAGGCGCACAUCUGGCCCGAUACUGACGCUGAGGCGCGAAAGCUAGGGGAGCAAACGGG